rnacentral:lncRNA from 1 species
UAUAUAUUCAUAUUCAAAUAAAGUUAUAGAUUCAAAAUAUGUGCGUUUACUUUGCUACUAUUUUAUCUUACAAAUUCUAUAUUUUAAGUAUUUGAAGAUUUAAAACUAUUUUUCACAUUUCAAAAUGUACAGAUUUUUUCAGAUCUGAAAAUUAUUAGAUAAUGUAGACUUCUAAUGAAGUAUGCUUAUAAGCUAAGGCUAGUAGACUUAAAAAAAGUAUACUAAGCCACUAAUUUUAAGUAGACUUCAUUGGAAGUCUACAAAAAUAUGACUUCAAUUUUUCUCCAAUGUUUUAUUAAUAAUAUUAUCAUAUUUUGUAUGUAUUUUCUUCCAUGGUUGUUAUCUC